rnacentral:lncRNA from 1 species
AGACUCCUAUAGUUUCUAAGAUGAAUAUAAAAGAGUACAGAGAUAGCUUUUCCUAUGAAAAGUUUAACUUCAGGAGCAAUCCUAACAUCACGUUUUAUGUGUACGUCAGCAACUUCUCCUGGCCUAUUAAAAUACAGAUUGCGUUUUCCCAACACAACACGAUCAUGGAUCUGGUGCAGUUCUUUGUCACCUUCUUCUAGUUGCUUUUUGUCUUUACUGCUGGUGGCUGCUGUGGUCUGGAAGAUCAAACAGACUUGCUGGGCUUCUCGUCGGAGAGAGCAACUGCUUCGAGAACGACAGCAGAUGGCCAGCCGUCCCUUUGCUUCUGUUGAUGUAGCCCUGGAAGUAGGAGCUGAACAGACAGACUUUCUGCGAGGGCCAUUAGAGGGUGCACCUAAGCCAAUAGCCAUCGAACCCUGUGCUGGGAACAGAGCUGCUGUCCUGACGGUGUUUCUCUGUCUACCGAGAGGAACAUCAGGUGCCCCACCCCCCGGGCAAUCAGGACUUGCUAUCGCCAGUGCCCUGAUAGACAUUUCACAGCAGAAGCCUUCCGAUAAUAAAGACAAGACUUCUGGAGUGCGCAAUCGGAAGCACCUCUCCACACGCCAAGGAACUUGUGUCUGAGAAUGGGAACCAGCUCUGUACUGUGCACCCAAGUUACUUCACAAAUGGCUUCUGUUAGAGCUGUUUUGUGGCCUUGGAUCUCACACAGGAUAAUGUCCUAUGAUCAGGGCCAGGUACAAUUCCCUCUAAGUGGGCAGUGUCCCAAAAGGCCAGAGACUGCUAGUGAGUUGUUUUUUUUUUUAAGUAACAGUAUUGAGGGUUACAAGUGAUAAAGUCAGUUUUUAUGGCUCUCUCAGACUGGGAGCUAACAUAACUUAGUAUGGAAAAAAAGAUGUAUAUUGUUUCUUAUUGCAGAUGGAAAUAUGUAAUUCAUAUAAAUCAACUGUUUAUAUCCCAAGACUUUAAAGAAAGACAUUUUAUAAUGCUUGAAUAAUGAGAAAUGUACAGUUUUUCUUGCCUCGUUUGCAAACUUAGGUCAUUGGCAUCAGAGUAGGAGAAGAACAAGCUCUAGCAGCUGCGACUGCCAUUUUGCCUCCUGACAAACAUGAAAGCAAGGCUUCCAUUUAAUAAGCUGUAAGUCAUGUGUUUAAGUCCUCCACGUGACCACCUGGGGUCCAGAGUCAGUUUGAGAAGGUAGCAGUUUUCAACUAGUGGGAAUGUCAGAGCAGAGAGUCAGGAAGUUUGUCGGAAUUCAGGGAAUGGAGGACACUCCUGAAAAGACAGGUAUAAAAGGGGCUGCCUGGCAAUUGGUGUCCCCUCCUUCCACAAGCAGCCUCCAGUUGGAGAACCUGAAGAGCCAAGCCUGUCAUUCCGUAGCAGAGCUUCUGGUCCACCCAUGAUGCUUUGCUGCCAGGCCAGAGUUGUUCCCAUGAGUCUGCACAAGAAUGUGUCAUUUUCUUCCAGCUCUCUUCUGUUUGCCACUUCUUAUUUACAAGUGUAACGAAAUGUAUUUUAAAGGUAACACUUUCCAAGUUCCCCGGCUGCCAACUUCUUCCUGUAGAAUGCAAGCAGACAAGAGCUGGGUCCGGCAAGCCUCAGCAAGAUCCCCAUCUCCAACGCAGUCACGCGGUGCUGUGAGGAGUCUACAUUCUAAAGGCAAAUUCUUUGCUGACCACAUGCCAAACAUCCCUGACGACGCAACCCCCGCCCCCCAUCAGAGCAGAGAGGAAAGACAAAAGUGGGAGCCCUCACAUGGAAUGGGGAAUAUAGCAACAGUAGCUCACUGAAGCUCACUCAGCUCGGAGCAGCAGCCAUGGCUGACUUCAGGGUGACUACCGGGGAUACAAGAACAAUGCAAAAGGGUCCCGAAGCUGCUGCAUUCCCUGUGGUUUCCUGUAACACAAAAGCCAUUCCAUCCGAUCAGUGUUAAGUACAGUUUGCACAUGUUUCAUGUUCUUUGGGAUUUGGAAGGUGACGACACCUUAGAGUCAAUACCUAGUCGCUGCAUGCCAUGGUUGUACAGUAGCAGAAUAUGAUCCUAUCGCAAUAUCAAAUAUUUAUUUCAAAUGCCAUGUAUACACACAUAGCUUGAUUGGAUGAGGAUAGAGUGUACUAUGAAACAGAAAUGACCACAGACUAUGUAGUUGCAUCUUUAAAGCAUAGUUAGGUUGCAUCUAACCAUGACUGUCUUAUUUUGAUAACUAGCCUUUUGGAUAUAGCUUAUAUUCCUUACGUUGGCAUGAUCCUUCUACUCUAUUUUCCAUGCACUCGAAAUCAGAUGAAUUUGUAGAAUAGUUUUAGAAAUUUUCUCUACAGCCCAUGGGGUUUGGGUUGGGGAGGGGUCAGUGGCUGUUGGUAAUUCCCAGGACAUCAUCUCUCAGAAAACUAGUCGAGCUGAAUUCAUGAACGUCUCCUAAAAAUAACCAAGUAAUUUGAUCGCCGCCUUUUGGACACUUUCCAUGGUGAUCUCCCCCACCCCACCCCCAUGAAAAUGGAAGAACCGGUCCCUGUAAAGAAUAGUCCUGGACAGUAAAGUAGUCACACAGGUUGUGUAAUUGCCAACAACGAAGCUAGAACAGACCUGUGGAAGUCCAGUCUCACCCACUGUGAAUCCCCCAGGUUCUUAAAACUUCAAAAAAUUUUGAGUUUUAGAUAAUUAUGGAAUUAAUGCAAUGUCACGCUCUACCGUUAACUCUGUGGCCAAUUAUGCAAUACACUCUCAGCUUAUAAAGCAUUUUACUGGAAAUAAAAUUCUUCGCCCCCGGGGGGAAGUGAACCAAAAA